GACGAACGCUGGCGGCGUGCUUAACACAUGCAAGUCGAACGAAAAGAGGGAAAGAGCUUGCUCUUUCCGGAAUUGAGUGGCAAACGGGUGAGUAACACGUAAACAACCUGCCUUCAGGAUGGGGACAACAGACGGAAACGACUGCUAAUACCGAAUAAGUUCCAAGGGCCGCAUGGCCCAUGGAAGAAAAGGUGGCCUCUACCUGUAAGCUAUCGCCUGAAGAGGGGUUUGCGUCUGAUUAGCUGGUUGGAGGGGUAACGGCCCACCAAGGCGACGAUCAGUAGCCGGUCGGAGAGGAGGAACGGCCACACUGGAAUUGAGACACGGUCCAGACUCCUACGGGAGGCAGCAGUGGGGAAUCUUCCGCAAUGGGCGAAAGCCUGACGGAGCAACGCCGCGUGAGUGAUGACGGCCUUCGGGUUGUAAAACUCUGUGAUCCGGGACGAAAAGGCAGAGUGCGAAGAACAAACUGCAUUGACGGUACCGGAAAAGCAAGCCACGGCUAACUACGUG
rnacentral:rRNA from 1 species